UUUCUUAAAGGCAUCAUGGCCGCCCUCAGACCCCUUGUGAAGCCCAAGAUCGUCAAAAAGAGGACCAAGAAGUUUAUCAGGCACCAGUCAGACCGAUAUGUCAAAAUUAAGCGUAACUGGCGGAAACCCAGAGGUAUUGACAACAGGGUUCGGAGAAGAUUCAAGGGCCAGAUCUUGAUGCCCAACAUUGGUUAUGGGAGCAAC